CGUAUCUGCAUGUACGCAACAAGUUUGGAAGUGGUAAGAUUUUGGACUGUGUGUGUCCCAAAUCGAUCUGUGGUGGUGACUGAAGCGAUAACAGAGAGAGUAAUGGCGGGAUGUUAGCGCUUAUCGGUGCCUAAUUGGUUCCUGUUUGAAGCGAAGAAAUCGUUGCAGAGACGACAACAAUGGCGGGCUGUUUAGCCACUGCCACUCUUACAACCACUUCUCCUCAACUUUCCUCUUAUUCUCCAUCGAACUGUCGCCCUCUUUUCAGUUUCAGGAGGCAAAUUGUUGGACUGGGUAUUUCCUCCGUAGCGCCAAUCCUCCGUCGACGACGUGUGCCGUUUCAAUUAGGUUUCAGAAGGUACGAUGAGAAAGGCCGGUUUCGUGUCGAUUAUGUUGCAAUUCCAGUGUCGAAUUGCACCAGAAGUGGCGCGGAUACCGAUUUGGAUUUUACAGAGUCGAUCGAUUGCGUGGGGACUGCUCAGGAUGUGGAGUGUGUGGUUUCCUCGACUGAUGAAGAAUUAGGGAUUUCUUCCGAUUUUGAUAAUGAUGGUGAUGGUUCCGUGGCAGUCUUGGAGAAAGCCUGGGAGUUUGCUGUGUUGGUUUCGCCGUUUUUCUUUUGGGGUACGGCUAUGGUGGCCAUGAAAGAGGUGCUUCCAAGGUCUGGUCCUUUCUUCGUUUCCGCCUUUCGUCUUGUACCUGCCGGUUUCCUCUUGAUUGCCUUUGCUGCUUUCCGCGGUCGCCCCUUUCCUUCUGGGUUUUCUGCUUGGAUUUCCAUUCUUCUUUUUGCUCUAGUCGACGCUACAUUAUUUCAGGGCUUUCUUGCUCAAGGCUUGCAGAGGACAUCCGCAGGCUUGGGUAGUGUAAUAAUUGAUUCUCAACCAUUAACCGUUGCAGUGCUUGCAGCCUUCUUAUUUGGUGAGUCUAUCGGUUUAGUUGGAGCCGCUGGACUUGUACUUGGAGUUUUAGGACUUAUACUCCUUGAGGUUCCUUCACUUACUUUAGAUGCAAGUAGCUUUUCGUUGUGGGGAAGUGGAGAGUGGUGGAUGUUUCUAGCUGCACAGAGCAUGGCAGUAGGUACUGUCAUGGUCCGCUGGGUUUCAAAGUAUUCUGAUCCUAUUAUGGCAACUGGAUGGCACAUGGUGAUUGGUGGUCUUCCGCUUUUGAUGAUCUGUUUCCUUAAUCAUGAGCCUGCAGUCAGUGGGAGUCUUCAGGAUUUUACAACAAAUGAUAUACUAGCACUCUUUUAUGCAUCUAUAUUUGGAAGUGCUGUUAGCUACGGUUCUUUCUUCUAUAGUGCAACAAAAGGUAGUUUGACAAAGCUUAGCUCUCUCACCUUUCUCACUCCAAUGUUUGCUUCAAUUUUUGGGUUCCUAUAUUUGGGAGAGACAUUUUCACCUAUUCAACUGGUUGGAGCCGUUGUCACUGUGGUUUCUAUAUACGUGGUCAACUAUGGCAGUAGUUUGGAAUGAGCUCACAAGAUCUGUUCACGCUUUCAACAUUCAAAAACAAAGGUUGCCUUUCAUUAUCGGACAUGAAGGGCCAGUUUACAUAAUACUAAAUUUAGAAGAAAUUUCCACGAUAGGAUAUACUUGAUGCAAUACUUUAUUGUGCUGCAAUCUGAUAGUACUUGUGCACUUGUCAGAUCAAUCUUGUGCGUGCAAACACACUUAGCAAUGAUGCAUGAUUAUGGACAUCUGCUAAGUCAAGAGCCCUCGUUGCGCAAAUCUCUUGUGAGUUUUGAACUAUCAGGGGAAGAUCAUUCGUAGCAUUUGUAAUUUUAGUGACCGUUCGUCGUUGGACGAUGCCUAUUCAUAGCAUUUGUAUUCAAAUUAUGUAAUUAUGGCAUUUGUUAUAUAAAAUUAUUGUAAUUAUAUA